AUAGAAAUGUUACAGAAAAUAGAACUGACUCGACAUAAUGUACUGGCAUUUUGUUCUCCCAUAACCUUGCAUGCCUUGCUAAAGAUAAGGAACCGCAAGAUGCCUACACUGCAGCUGCGGCUGUGAGAAAAAAGGAUGAGCCAGACGUGUCUUUUUGCACGUAUACCCAAACCACCCAUCCUUUUUAUCUGCUUGCUUAGUUUUAUGCCAAGUAUGCAUAGUUAUAAGUUUUCUCUUAUAUGCUAAUACCUGAAUCAUCAUUGGCUAACCCUCUGCCUUGCUGACAAUUUUAAGGUAUAUAAGAAACUGAUCCAACUCUGUAUGUUGGAACACUGCUCGAUGAUUAUCUAGCACCCUGUGUGCUGAGAGUGUUCUCAGUUUGCAAACUUAAGAAAUAAAGGCCUGUGUGUUUGGAAUUCGCAGUCUCGCUUCCUUUAUUAGAAUUUCCACGACAAUUCUUGGCGACCCAGAUGGGACGGCUAGCUCCGUUUUCCGAUUGCUCCCGGGGACUUUGAGGUUAACCGUGCACGGGGGCUGCUUAGGAGUGGCUCAGGGAACCACACUCUGAAAUAGUUUCGGAGGUGAAGGACCCGCCUUGAACCCGGCUGGGAGCAUCGGUGGACGGAUACGCCGUACCGAACAAAGACAAAGGGUGAGACUGGUUUUCCUCAUACAUAAAAUAGACCAAUUGGUUCAGGUUCUGGGAACCUGAUAAAACCCGUUCUGGGAACGGGCUGCGCAGAAAGAGUUCUGGGAACUCUAUUGUCUAGAGGACAAAAAGAUAGACCACGUGGUUCAGGUUCUGGGAACCUGAUAAAACCCGUUCUGGGAACGGGCUGCGCAGAAAGAGUUCUGGGAACUUUGUUGUCUAAGACAUAGAAAUCCUGAUCCGGAAACAGGUAAAUUAAGUGAUUCGACUGAUCUAUGAAUAAUACUAAUAAGUAAUUACAAAUUAAACUAGUUAAAAAGAUAUCGUAUGAAAUACCAAAUAUUGAACUAAAAAUAACAAUUGAAAAAAUUAAAUGCACAGUUUAAAAAAAAAAAAAAAAAAAAGUCAUACUACUAGUGUAGUUGAUCAAUAUACCAAGUGCACUGUUGGAUGGUCAAUUAAGAAAAGUAAUUUUUCUGUGCAGGUGGUGCAAAUAAAAAUAGACAGUGAUAUAGUGUGGACGACAGAUAACCGUGUGAAUGAGUGAGUGAAUGAGUGUUAUCUGAUAAUUGUGUGUGUGUGCGCGUGUGGGUUUGAUUACAAUGAGGUCAAGUAAUAGUAAAAAGGAGGUCUGUCUCCCGGACGCGCUGGUUGGACCGGGACGAACGAUGGCUGAUAAAUGGGGUCGCGGUGUUGUAGACCAGGUUGUUCUGUGGCAUAAAAUAGCUGAUUUUCCACUAAAAGCAACCCAGAGUGAAAGGAAGUUACAAGAAUGUAGAGAAAAGUUAGAGUUUGAGAAGACAAAGAAAGAGAAAAAGACUGGGAUGGUUAUAGGAAAUGAGAACGAGAAGCAGAAAGACAAACAGCUAAAAGCAUAAUGGUAAAAGCAAGUCAGAAAGAUAGUACUGAGGAAGUGAAAAAAAGAAAAAAAAGACAGAGAAACAGAGAUUACGAUGAGGAAAGGGACUGCUCCCCCCCCCGUAUUGUGUUCCUGUUUCCACAGCCCCUGCUCCUGCUCCUCGGCCCGACCGGCCCGUCCAGGUCCAUCAACAGCCUCCGCCCACAGCAGAGAGUCCGCUGCCCGCACCUCCGCCUCUGAUAUCCACCCCAAGCAACCCGACAGGUUUCCAAGGCGGUUCCCGGUGGACUUGGUCCCCUUGGUCGCCCCCUGGACUGAGCUUCUUAUCAUCGCCAGAAUCCCCUGAGACAUCAGGAUCUUCCAGCACGCUCACUACACGGUUGGGACCAAAAGGCAAUCUGAACAACGCCAUUAUCAUGGCCCCCCUGACAGCGUACUGGCUGCCAGAGGUCCUGAUUCAGCGCACCUGGAGACAAGAUGAGAUUAAAGACAUUGCUAAAGACUUGCCCGACCCAACUAAGGAUGCAGUUCAGUUCAGCGAGCAGAUGACCCGUCUUGUGCGUCAAUACAAACCCUCUGCCGCUGAAAUAGGGCACAUUAUGCGAUGCAAAUUAAAGCUUCGCUGGGAGGACAUCGAAGAUACUUUUGACAAAAAUCUGACGUGGAAACCGGCAGGGGAUGGAGAAUAUCAACCGCAGUUUGAACAGUUGCUGGACAGAUUGAAAUGACAAUACCCUACUAAAACCGAUUGGGAUGCUAUACAUAGAGCACACAGCACUCCAAAGAGUCUCUAGAGGAAUAUAGACAAAGAUUGGAGACGUGCUUUCGCAAACACAGCGGACUCCGACCAGGCACCGAUGAAUACAACAGUCUUUUAAAAGCAGCCAUAAUAAACGGACUCGUACCUGCCCUCAAUAAACAGGUACGGAUGACAUGCAUUGGAUGGGAGACGGCUCCCCUCAUUACAUUGCAAGCACGCUGAAAGACAACAACAGAAGCAAGAGAGCAAUCAAAAGACAAAAGCUGAAAAAGGAGUUAAACUGCAAGCAGCUCAGCUGGCUUAUUAUCAGGGCAAAGGACCAACCCGAGGCGGAUACCAACGCGGACGGGGCGGACGUGGGACGGGGGGUAGGGGGAAGCGGAGGCGGUGGCAACAGAAACUUCCACAACCAGGAUAAAGACACUAGUUGCUAUAAUUAUGGCCAGGAAGGACAUUUUGCUAGAGAGUGUCGGAGACAGCAGCAGCAACAACAACAAACCAACGGGAGUAACUGGCAGAGCGCUCCCCCACCGCAAGUAACACUAUACAAACCGAAACCAGAAUGAAACGAGGCAGGGACAGCUGGCACCAAAACAGCGAACAAGCAGUACGUGCUAACUUUUUCUAAACCACAAGAAGCCCCCACCGUUGAUCUCUUCGUGAAUGGGUAAAAGCUGCUCUAACCGAACCGAAGGAACCGAAGGCUCCACAAGCUCCUGCCAGGGGACUGGGUGAUCAUCAAAGACCUCCGGAAGCAUUGGCAUCAACAACGCUGGACAGGUCCGUUCCAGGUGCUCCUGACAACGCAGACAGCGGUGAAAGUCGCUGAACGAUCAACCUGUAUCCACGCAAGCCAUUGCGGAAAAGUGCCCUAUAGCCCGAAGGAAGAUGUAUCGCCCCCUGGAACAACGUAGACGGCUCGGAUGGCCUUGGGGACAGUCAGCUUUGGACCCCCAGAGUCCUGACUUAUUUUUCUUGGCAGCAUAUUAACUGUGUUUCUCAUCUGGCUCUUAACUGAACUAAAAGAUAAUAAAAAAGAGCCAGAUACUACAAACCACAGCUACGCUGAAAAUCGCACAGAACUCAGAACAAAAACAACAUUGCACACAUGGAGUGUAGAACAUGAUUGAAAACAUGCGGACAAUGGUUGGUGGGAAAUGCUCAACCAUACUGUACGGAACACUUUGAACAUUACUGACACUGGUUUAUAUAUGAUGUAGUGAUAUUGUUGUUGUUUUUGCUUAUCAUAACUUGUGUGAAAAAGUUAUGUACUAAAACUGUUGACACUGUUUUAAACAUGCCCCUGCUUACUAAUGAUGACCAGUGUAAUGAUUCAAAUGAUGACCCUUUCAACAAAAUGGCAGAUGACCUGAUGAGUUAAGAUAGUGGGGAAAAUCUGCAAGCGGGAUACGUUGGGUCGUCACUUUGUUCAUAUUACACUACAUGUUAAACUUUGUAAAUCUCGCUUUAACUUGUACUAUUGUGUGUGUGUUUGAAUCCAUUUUCUGAAUAAGGUUGAGACAAAGUCUCAAAAGGGAGGGAAUGUUAUAGAAAUGUUACAGAAAAUAGAACUGACUCGACAUAAUGUACUGGCAUUUUGUUCUCCCAUAACCUUGCAUGCCUUGCUAAAGAUAAGGAACCGCAAGAUGCCUACACUGCAGCUGCGGCUGUGAGAAAAAAGGAUGAGCCAGACGUGUCUUUUUGCACGUAUACCCAAACCACCCAUCCUUUUUAUCUGCUUGCUUAGUUUUAUGCCAAGUAUGCAUAGUUAUAAGUUUUCUCUUAUAUGCUAAUACCUGAAUCAUCAUUGGCUAACCCUCUGCCUUGCUGACAAUUUUAAGGUAUAUAAGAAACUGAUCCAACUCUGUAUGUUGGAACACUGCUCGAUGAUUAUCUAGCACCCUGUGUGCUGAGAGUGUUCUCAGUUUGCAAACUUAAGAAAUAAAGGCCUGUGUGUUUGGAA